rnacentral:lncRNA from 1 species
GUAUUAUCUGUCUAUUGGCAGCUGCUCUACCUAACUAUCUCUCUAGUAUUAUCCCUCUAUUGGCAGCUGCUCUACCUAACUAUCUCUCUAGUAUUAUCUGUCUAUUGGCAGCUGCUCUACCUAGCUAUCUCUCUAGUAUUAUCUGUCUAUUGGCAGCUGCUCUACCUAACUAUCUCUCUAGUAUUAUCCCUCUAUUGGCAGCUGCUCUACCUAGCUAUCUCUCUAGUAUUAUCUGUCUAUUGGCAGCUGCUGGGAACCAGAGCCAUAUAUACAUGUGUAUACAUAUAGUACGGCUCUGUUGGAUCUAUUACAACAUAAUCAUCUGUCUGAUAUGAGCCUGGGGUUAGUCAGUAGUCUGUAGUCUGGGUUAGUCUGUAGUCUGGGUUAGUCAGUAGUCUGGGUUAGUCAGUAGUCAGUAGUCUGGGUUAGUCAGUAGUCAGUAGUCUGGGUUAGUCAGUAGUCUGGGUUAGUCAGUAUCUGGGGUUAGUCAGUAGUCUGGGGUUAGUCAGUAGUCAGUAGUCUGGGUUAGUCAGUAGUCUGGGUUAGUCAGUAGUCUGGGGUUAGUUAGUAGUCAGUAGUCUGGGUUAGUCAGUAGUCAGUAGUCUGGGUUAGUCAGUAGUCUGGGUUAGUCAGUAGUCUGGGGUUAGUCAGUAGUCAGUAGUCUGGGUUAGUCAGUAGUCUGGGUUAGGGUUAGUCAGUAGUCUGGGGUUAGUCAGUAGUCUGGGUUAGGGUUAGUCAGUAGUCUGGGGUUAGUCAGUAGUCUGGGUUAGUCAGUAGUCUGGGUUAGGGUUAGUCAGUAGUCUGGGGUUAGUCAGUAGUCUGGGUUAGGGUUAGUCAGUAGUCUGGGUUAGUCAGUAGUCUGGGUUAGGGUUAGUCAGUAGUCUGUCUGAUUAGGAACCUUCAGGAGGAAGUAGUAGCCAGCCUUCCUGUUUUGUACUGUGUAUCUUAACUACAACCAGCACUAUGCUGACCCAUGUCGCCUGCUGCCUGCCUGCUGCCCUGGUUUGUCAGCAUUGUCUGUCCAUCAUUCUAUCUAGAGCCAUCACUAUAACACUUGCUGUUGAAGUCACAUACACUACAUGGCUAAAAGUAUGUGGACACGCCUUCAAAUUAGUGGAUUCGGCUAUUUCAGCCAGACCCGUUGCUGACAGGUGUAUAAAAUCGAGCACACAGCCAUGCAAUCUCCAUAGACAAACAUUGGCAGUUGAAUGGCCUGUACUGAAGAGCUUAGUGACUUUCAAUGUGGCACCAUCACAGGAUGCCCACCUUUCCAAUAAGUCAAUUCGUCAAAUUCGUAGGUAGGCCACACAAGCUCACAGAACGGGACCGCCGAGUGAUGAAGUGCGUAAAAAUUGUCUGUCCUCAGUUGCAACACUCACUACCAAGUUCCAAACUGCCUCUUGGAAGCAACGUCAGCACAAGAACUGUUUGUCAGGAGCUUCAUGAAAUGGGUUUCCAUGGCUGAGCAGCAACACACAAGCCUAAGAUCACCAUGCGCAAUGCCAAGCGUCGGCUGGAGCGGUGUAAAACUCGCUGCAAUUGGACUCUGGAGCAGUGGAAAAGCGUUCUCUGGAGUGAUGAAUCACACUUCACCACAGUCCGUUGGACAUAUCUGGGUUUGGCGGAUGCCAGUAGAACGCUACUUGCCUGAAUGCAUAAUGCCAACUGUAAAGUUUGGUGGAGGAGGAAUAAUGGUCUGGGGCUUGUUUUUCACGCGUCGAGCUAAGCCUCUUAGUUCCAGUGAAGGGAAAUCUUAAUGCUGCAACAUACAAAACAUACAAUGACAUUCUAGAUGAUUCUGUGCUUCCAACUUUGCGGCAACAGUUUUUAUUUUAUUUGUAUUUAUUUAACGAGGCAGGUUUGGGGAAAGCUCUUUUCUGUUUCAGCAUGUUAAUGCCCCCGUGCACAAAGCGAGGUCCAUACAGAAAUGGUUUGUCGAGAUCGGUGUGGAAGAACUUGACUGGCCUUCACAGAGCCCUGACCUCAACCCCAUCGAACACCUUUGGGAUGAAUUGGAACGCCGACUGCGAGCCAGGCCCUAAUCGCCCAACAUCAGUGUCCGACCUCACUAAUGCUCUUAUGGCUGAAUGGAAGGAAGUCCCCCGCAGUAAUGUUCCAACAUCUAGUGGAAAGCCUUCCCAGAAGAGUGGAGGCUGUUAUAGCAGCAAAAGGGGGGGGGGGGACCAACUCCAUAUUAAUUCUCAUGAUUUUGGAAUGAGAUGUUCGACGAAAAGGUGUCCACAUACUUUUGGUCACGUAGUGUAUCAUGGUUGAAUUCCACAGCCUUUAUAUCAAGGCUCAUGACAAUAAAUGUUUUUAAUGGUGUUGUUACCAGAGUAUGAAGAUAGCUUGGAUUGAACAGUGACUGUUCUAUGGUAGCUACAACAAAUGGGCUUCAGAGCAAAGCAGGUUUAAAGAGAUUUUAUCAGGUCUAUUUAUAUAUAGGUUAAUCAGACUCAUGUUUUCUCUCUUUCUGACUCUCUCUCUUUUCUCUGUCUUUCACUUUCUUACGCUCUCUUUCUUUCGCUGUGCUUCUGUCUCUCCGUCCCUCAAGUUACAGGUGACUUACCCCUGUGUUUCUGUGUCAGUGUCUUCUUCAGCUGUAAUCAUUCUUCUCAACUCGAAAGUACCCAACACGGUUUUUUUUUGUCCCGCCUUCCUUCCUUCCUUCUUCUCCUUUUGAAUGGCAUUAUGAUCAACCAAUCCUGUCAAUUUCCUAUAUAAUCCAGUGUACAGUGCAAUGGGAAC